AUAACUCAAGAACGCAUACGCCUAGGAUCAUGAAACUUCAUGGGUAGAUUGAUCAUGACUUGCAGAUGACCCCUAUUGAUUUUGAGGUCACUAGGUCAAAGGUCAAGGUCACGGUGACCCGAAAUAGUAAAAUGGUUUUCGGAUGAUAACUCAAGAACGCAUAUGCCUAGGAUCAUGAAACUUCAUAGGUAGAUUGAUCAUGACUCGCAGAUGACCCCUAUUGAUUUUGAGGUCACAAGGUCAAAGGUCAAGGUCACGGUGACCCGAAAUAGUAAAAUGAUUUUUGGAUGAUAACUCAAGAACGCUUUUGCCUAGGAUCAUGACACUUCAUAGGUACAUUGAUUGUGACUCGCAGAUGACCCCUAUUGAUUUUCAGGUCACUAGUUUAUUCUGUUUUCACACUGUCCAGUAAAGAGACUUACAAAUUGAAUUUUUGACACAUGUUAAUUCAUAAUGAUGUAUAAGCCUUUGUUUCUGUGCCAGUAAAUACUAUGUUUAUGGAAAUGACGUGAGAAUUCAACAUUUAAAAAACCAAUGUAAUAUGAUAUGUAAUAUUAUAUGGCAACAGGACAGUUGUGAUUUGCUGGGUCAAUUCUAUUUAGCUUGACCAUCCAAGCGGUUGAUAGCUUUGACAAACUGGUGGUCUGAAACAUUGAGAAAAUGUCACGAUUCACUGACAAUAAAUCAAACAUGUAAUUCUUGCUACGCAACUUGCAUUUAAUUUUGUCAAUUCAAAUUAUACAUAAAAAUAUAUAAUUAAUUUUUAAUCUGCUUGUUAAUUGAAAAACAGCAACACAGUUUGUAUGUAUAAAACAAUGUUAAUACAUAAAUAGGAUCAAGCAUAUUAAAAUAUCAACUUAGAUUUAGUUUCCUUUACUGUACAGGAUUUGUAAAGUUAGGUUAAUAUUUGUGUAUUGAACAAAAAUAACAACAGUGUAAAGAAAAGUUAAUUUGGGGAUGUUCUAUCCAAACCCUGAGAGUUCAGAUUUCCUCAAAUGCCAAGUAAAGAUUGUAAAUUUCAACCCACUCGUCUGGUAAGUUUUCAGAGGCACAUAUAAUUAACUUUUAGGCUUAGUGUCUCAUUUGUACAUGCAUUACUGUAUUAACUCCAAAUCAACUAGUACAAGUGGUAGGCCAGUAUUACAUGGACUGGUGUUCACUGUUUACACAGUUUCACAACCCCAUCUGAUACUGGUCAGUAUCUUGGCAAGUGGCCAAAGUUGGGAGUGGAAUUAAUGGUCUAUUACAUAACUGACUUCUGUGUGUGGUAAACACAUGAUACUGGUCAUGUGGUCAAGUUGCACUUAUAUACAUUUGCCCAAUACACAACACUAGCCUUGGCUAUUUUUAAUCAGAUUGCAUUGCUAUCUAUGGUGGUCAUCGACUAGGGGAGUUAACUGCUAUAAAUAACAUGUUUCAUAAUAUUAAUAAAUAAAACAUAACAAAUUGUGUGCACGUUCCACAUAUUGUCAAAUAAGUCAAAAUGUGUGAAAGGAAUCCAAAAAAUCAAAGACUCAAUCAUAUAAUGGAUAUAAUUGAUUAGUAUAGGUCCUGAUUGGUUUUUGCACUAUUAAUUGGAUACAUUUCACAGGUCAUUGACAUACAGUGACAAAAAACAUAUUCACACAAUGGCUGUCACUACAACGGAGAGCCCAUAUGGGGGGCAUGCAUGUUUUACAAACAGCCCUUGUUUAAAGGGAUAUAAUCAAGAAUUUUUUUAUUUUAUUUUAAGUGGCGCUGUAGGGGGCAUUGUGUUUCUGACAAACACAUCUCUUGUUUAAAUAAAUUUUAAAAAUUCAAAAUAAUAAGCAACAGGAAUCGUAAUGAACAUUACAACUAGCUCUUUAAGUGCUUUUACUUGUGCAAGCAUACAUUGUACAAUAACACAGAUUUAUCCCCAGGUACCAUAAAACAAUAAUAAUACAGGCUUUCCAAAUUGGAUCAACAUAAUACAACACAAUAAUAUUUAAAAGACUUGCACUUGCUGUAAAAGCUAAAAAUUAGUCAUGAGGUCUCUUAUUUUAUGUUGUACCACACGAAAAUGUAAUCCCACUAUGGCAAAAAGAACAUUGGAUUCAUUCACUACUGCUUAUUAGAUUUCUUCACUCGGUGUAUUUUGGAUUACAAUCAACACAACUGCCUCUGUAAACAAUCUGUAACUAACAAUACUUUUCGACUGAAGACUUCAGAAUUGCCAAGUCACUUAUGGCACUGCCAGCAAUGCCCUUGUCCACAAUCUCUUUUGCCAUAUGCAGUAUUGACAAUGGAAUGUCAGAAUGUGCGGUGUCUCAGUAUAGCUUUAAAUGGCCUGUCACCUUGUCAAUAAGCUGAGCUGGACCUGGAAAGUAUGGAUCAAUUAUGUACAUAAAUACGCUAUGUACAGCAUUGGCCUAAUUAUAUUUGAAAAUUACUUGAAAAACAAUCAUGGGCAUGAUUAAUGACUAAGGUUCUGCACUAAGCAACCACAACCAUGUUACACAAAUGAAAUCCUACCUAGAACAUUAUUUAUUUAAAUAUUAAUGCCUAUAUUGUUUUCAACAGUGUUUCAAAUACACAAAAGUACAAUUAGAAUGCAUUCAGAUUUAGCUUGUACCUGCUAUUUCUAUAUGUUUCUCUUUCCAUACUGCUUGAACAGGACUGGGUUGUCAGGGAUAAGUGUGUCUACUGGUUUAAGAAGGCAAGCAAUACUUUAUUAUACAACCUUGGAUAACAAUCAUACCUGGUCCUACAGCUAAGACUGUUUUUGAGCCACUUGCAAUCUGAGUACGACCUGCAUCCCGGAUGAUUGUGCAUAUCAAUCCACUAGCCGACGCUGCCUUGGCUAAUUCUAUUCUAAAAAGUAAACCAAUCUACCGGUAAUUACACACCCAUUUGUAGCUUAUAAACUCGAGUAAGACAGAUCAUCAAAAUGAAUUCAAACAAGAGGGCCAUGAUGGCCCUGUAUCGCUCCACUAAAAAAUAUCUGAAACAAAUAUUCUCUGCAUGCGCAAAUACUUAAAUAUAGGCCCUAUUUAAGCACAUGUACACUUUUGUGACCCCCUGGGCUUGGUCAAAUUUAACCCCAGGGGCAUAAUUUGAGCAAACUUUGUAGAGGACUACUAUAUCUCACUACAUGUACAUACAAAAUAUGGUAGCCCUAGGUUUUAGAGUUAAGGACAAGAAUAUUUUAAAAGUUUUCACAAAAUAAGCAAGAUAUAAGCGUACAUAUAAUGUUCAAUUUUGUGACCCGCGGGUCAGGGUCAAAUUUGACCCAAAAGGCAUAAUUUGAACAAACAUAGUUAGAGGACUAUAAGAUGUUACUGCAUACCAAAUUUGGUAGCCAUAGUCUGAAUGGUUUUCGACAAGAAGAUUUUUAGCUCACCUGAUUGCUCAGGUGAGCUUUUCUGACUGGUCUUUUGUCGUAUGUCUGUCCGUCCGUAAACAUUUGCUCGUAAACACUCUAGAGGCCACAUUUCUUGUCCCAUCUUCAUGAAACUUGGUCAGAAGUUUUAUCCCAAUGAAAUCUCUGCCGAGUUCGAAACUGGGUUGUG